GACAGAGGGGGCAAGCGUUGCUCGGAAUUACUGGGCGUAAAGCGUGCGCAGGCGGUUUUGUAAGUCUGUCGUGAAAUCCUCGGGCUCAACCUGAGAAUUGCGAUGGAGACUGCAAGGCUAGAAUCUGGCAGAGGGGGGUAGAAUUCCACGUGUAGCAGUGAAAUGCGUAGAGAUGUGGAGGAACACCGAUGGCGAAGGCAGCCCCCUGGGUCAAGAUUGACGCUCAUGCACGAAAGCGUGGGGAGCAAACAGG
rnacentral:rRNA from 1 species